GGCUCGCCACGCGGCCCUGCAGAAGGAGCAAGCCAGUCUGCGCGAGGUGCUGGCCGCCGUGAGGGCUGAGAGUCAGCACGCUGAGAUGCAACUUUACGAGAAGAGCUGCGCCCUGGAGGCAGCCGAGACGGCGCGCCGGCAGCUGGAGAAGGACAACAAACAGCUGACCCUGCGGCGGGAGGAGGUGCAGAACCAGCUGAACCUCGCCCGGCGGGACAUGGACCAGGAGGGCGGGCAGCUGCGUGAGAAGUGUGACGAGCUGCAGCGCAGGCUGGAGG